UCCGUAGGUGAACCUGCGGAAGGAUCAUUGUCGUAACCUGCCCUGGCAGAAAAACUCGCGAACACGUUAUUAAAAAAACUCGGGCAACGGCGCGGCGUGUCGACAUGCCCCUCGCGGGUCCCGUGCGGUUGUAAUGCCCGAUGUUGGGGCCCCGUGCCCUUUCAUUGGGCCUAACCACACCCCGGCACGAGUCGUGCCAAGGAACACAAUCAUGAUCUUUUGGGGGUGCUUCAUCCCCUAAAACAAAACAAAACGACUCUUGACAACGGAUAUCUAGGCUCUUGCAUCGAUGAAGAACGUAGCGAAAUGCGAUACUUGGUGUGAAUUGCAGAAUCCCGUGAACCAUCGAGUUUUUGAACGCAAGUUGCGCCCGAAGCCUUCUGGCCGAGGGCACGCCUGCCUGGGCGUCAUAAUUCGUCACCCCCCACCGUGCCUUCGGGCAACGGUGUCGGGUGGAUAGUGGCCUCCCGCGUCCCCUAGGCGCGGUUGGCCGAAAUUCGAAAGCAUCGUGGCAGUGCCUGCGGCGGUCUAGGUGGAUCACAUUGCCCUCUAUGUUGCCGUGCAGCGCAUUGCCAUCGGCGCCAUGCCCUUCGCGUGCUUCCCUCCCUCGGGAUGCACUAUUGCGUGACCCCAGGUCAGGCGGGACUACCCGCUGAGUUUAAGCAUAUCAAUAAGCGGAGGA
rnacentral:rRNA from 1 species